UACGGAGGGAGCUAGCGUUGUUCGGAAUUACUGGGCGUAAAGCGCACGUAGGCGGCUUUGUAAGUUAGAGGUGAAAGCCCGGAGCUCAACUCCGGAACUGCCUUUAAGACUGCAUCGCUUGAAUCCAGGAGAGGUGAGUGGAAUUCCGAGUGUAGAGGUGAAAUUCGUAGAUAUUCGGAAGAACACCAGUGGCGAAGGCGGCUCACUGGACUGGUAUUGACGCUGAGGUGCGAAAGCGU
rnacentral:rRNA from 1 species